GUUUGAUCCUGGCUCAGGAUGAACGCUGGCGGCGUGCCUAAUACAUGCAAGUCGAACGCUGGAAAUCUAGCUUGCUAGAUUGAAGGAGUGGCGAACGGGUGAGUAAUACAUAAGCAACCUACCCACGAAGACUGGGAUAAUCUCUGGAAACGGGGACUAAUACCGGAUAGGUAAUCGGAAGGCAUCUUCUGAUUAUUAAAGGUUAAAAACACUGGUGGAUGGGCUUAUGGCGCAUUAGUUAGUUGGUGAGGUAACGGCCCACCAAGACGAUGAUGCGUAGCCGGCCUGAGAGGGUGAACGGCCACAUUGGGACUGAGACACGGCCCAGACUCCUACGGGAGGCAGCAGUAGGGAAUUUUCGGCAAUGGGGGAAACCCUGACCGAGCAACGCCGCGUGAGUGAUGACGGCCUUCGGGUUGUAAAGCUCUGUUGUAAGGGAAGAACGGUAGAUAGAGAAUAUCUAAGUGACGGUACCUUACCAGAAAGCCACGGCUAACUACGUGCCAGCAGCCGCGGUAAUACGUAGGUGGCGAGCGUUAUCCGGAAUUAUUGGGCGUAAAGGGUGCGUAGGCGGCCUGUUAAGUAAGUGGUUAAAUUGUUGGGCUCAACCCAAUCCAGCCACUUAAACUGGCAGGCUAGAGUAUUGGAGAGGCAAGUGGAAUUCCAUGUGUAGCGGUAAAAUGCGUAGAUAUAUGGAGGAACACCAGUGGCGAAGGCGGCUUGCUAGCCAAAGACUGACGCUCAUGCACGAAAGCGUGGGGAGCAAAUAGGAUUAGAUACCCUAGUAGUCCACGCCGUAAACGAUGAAUACUAAGUAUUGGGGAAACUCAGUGCUGCAGCUAACGCAAUAAGUAUUCCGCCUGUGGAGUAUGCACGCAAGUGUGAAACAUAAAGGAAUUGACGGGGGCCCGCACAAGCGGUGGAGUAUGUGGUUUAAUUCGAC
rnacentral:rRNA from 2 species